GACUCCAUGGCCCAAUGGAUAAGGUGCUGGUCUACGAAACCAGAGAUUUUGGGUUCGAUCCCCAGUAGUCUUA
rnacentral:tRNA from 1 species